rnacentral:lncRNA from 1 species
CUCAGUGAUUUAAAUGCAUCUUGUACUUUCUGAAGUUGGCAUCAGUCCCUGCCCGGUGUGCGCACUCCUUUGCUGCUGUGUACAGAGGCUGGCUGCUGCUGGGCAGGUUGUCGGGUCACACGGUAGAAGUCCCUGUUCUCAGGCUCCAGCUCCGCCUCUAGCCCAGCCUGGUUAUUUGUGUCCCAGGCUGUGUGUCCUCUCCGCCUGCCUCUGAGUGUGGUGUUCACUGUAGCUUACAUCCUGCUGGACUUAAACAGGAACUGCAUUCACAUGUUAUUUUAUGGGCCCUUGGCUGUUCUAAGGUAUCUUCUGCACACUUCAACAGCUUUUUGUACUCAUACUACAGUUUGGCUAAGGAAAAUUGGAGUUCCCUAGUUUAUCCUUUACAUGCCAAGAUAUGGGAGAAAAUUACUGUUUCCUCAUAUCAACCGUC